rnacentral:rRNA from 1 species
CUACAGAGGGUGCGAGCGUUAAUCGGAAUUACUGGGCGUAAAGCGCGCGUAGGCGGUCUAUUAAGUCAGAUGUGAAAUCCCCGGGCUCAACCUUGGAACUGCAUCUGAUACUGGUAGACUAGAGUUUUGGAGAGGGAAGUAGAAUUUCAGGUGUAGCGGUGAAAUGCAUAGAGAUCUGAAGGAAUACCAGUGGCGAAGGCGACUUCCUGGCCAAAAACUGACGCUGAGGUGCGAAAGCGUGGGUAGCAAACGGGAUUAGAAACCCGAGUAGUCC